UGGGCCAUUUCGUGGACGCCAGGUCAGCGAGAGCGUUGCGGGAGCCGGGCAGGGAGGGAAGCGGGAAGACCCAUCUGAGGGUGUGUGGAUUUGAGCAUCCGCUUUCCAACCCAAGAUCUCGAAAUGCAUCGUGAUUCCUGUCCAUUGGACUGUAAGGUUUAUGUAGGUAAUCUUGGAAACAAUGGUAACAAGACUGAAUUGGAACGAGCUUUUGGCUAUUAUGGACCACUCCGAAGUGUGUGGGUUGCUAGAAACCCUCCCGGCUUUGCUUUUGUUGAAUUUGAAUAUCCCCGAGAUGCAGCCGAUGCUGUUCGAGAACUAGAUGGGAGAACAUUAUGUGGCUGCCAAGUUAAGAGUGGAACUCUCGAAUGGUGAAAAGAGAAGUCGAAAUCGUGGCCCACCACCGUCUUGGGGUCGUCGCCCUCGAGAUGAUUAUCGGAGAAGGAGUCCUCCACCUCGCCGCAGAUCUCCAAGACGGAGAAGCUUCUCCCGCAGCCGGAGCAGGUCCCUUUCUAGAGAUAGGAGGAGAGAGAGAUCACUGUCUCGAGAGAGAAAUCACAAGCCUUCCCGAUCCUUCUCUAGGUCUCGUAGCCGAUCUAGGUCAAAUGAAAGGAAAUAGAAGACCAUUUUGCAAGAGGAGUGGUGUACAGGAAAUAACUUCAUUUGACGGGAGUAUGUACAGAAAAUUCAAGUUUUGUUUGAGACUUCAUAAGCUUGGUGCAUUUUUAAGAUGUUUUAGCUGUUCACAUUUGUUUGUGUCAGAACAGUGACAAAGAUGUAAUUCUCUAUGAUUUGAAUGGAUCAUAUGAGGCAUGUAAUAUCAAGAAUUGUUACUUUACAAUGUUCCCUUAAGCAAAAUUGAAUUUGGUUUGAAGUUUAGUCUCACAUAGACUGGUAAUAAACCUCUAACUCCUGCCCAGCUAAAGCUUGACAUUUAAUAUCAUGAAAACCGGCAAAAAUUGAACGAAGUCUUUCCAUAGCUGGGAUAAUAGUAUGCAGCUGUAGUUGAAGAAGCAGUCUUUAAAAGCUGGUGUGAACACAAGCCAGCAGGUAAAAAUUAAGCUGCACUGUUAAACUAGAUUAGAGGUUUAAAAAAAAAAAAGAACCAACUAGUCUUCAUAUUGGGCAGGGGUGUCCAGUUGGUGUAGAACUGGAAGUUGCAAGAAAGUUAGUUUAUCUUUGCUUUAGGUCAUAAGUUCCUUAUGUGAUUGCUGUAUAUGAACACACAGCUCUUUGUAACAAUCUCUAUUUGGUAAUUUGAAACUACUCAAGAUACCAACGGUCUGCCAGUUUAAGGGUACAUUGUAGAGCUAAACUUUGAGUUACUGUGCAAGAUUUAUUUUUUUUCAUGCUGUCAUUUGUAAUAUGUUUGUGAGAAUCCUUGGGAUUAAAGUUUUGGUUACAAAAAAAAAAA